rnacentral:rRNA from 1 species
AUUGAACGCUGGCGGCAGGCCUAACACAUGCAAGUCGAGCGGAUGACGGGAGCUUGCUCCUCGAUUCAGCGGCGGACGGGUGAGUAAUGCCUAGGAAUCUGCCUGGUAGUGGGGGACAACGUUUCGAAAGGAACGCUAAUACCGCAUACGUCCUACGGGAGAAAGCAGGGGACCUUCGGGCCUUGCGCUAUCAGAUGAGCCUAGGUCGGAUUAGCUAGUAGGUGAGGUAAUGGCUCACCUAGGCGACGAUCCGUAACUGGUCUGAGAGGAUGAUCAGUCACACUGGAACUGAGACACGGUCCAGACUCCUACGGGAGGCAGCAGUGGGGAAUAUUGGACAAUGGGCGAAAGCCUGAUCCAGCCAUGCCGCGUGUGUGAAGAAGGUCUUCGGAUUGUAAAGCACUUUAAGUUGGGAGGAAGGGCAGCAAGCUAAUACCUUGCUGUUUUGACGUUACCGACAGAAUAAGCACCGGCUAACUCUGUGCCAGCAGCCGCCGUAAGAC